CUAUGAUAACUUCUCUUAUAGAUCUCGUUCAUUUAGACGUAGUCACCGCCAGAUGAGUUGUAUGAAUAAGGAGUCCCAGUAUGGAUUUACCCCAGGGAAUGGACAGAUGCCCAGGGGCUUGGAAGAAACUAUUACUUUUUAUGAAGUUGAAGAAGGGGAUGAGACUGCUUAUCCAACUUUACCUAAUCAUGGAGGUCCCUCUACAAUGAUUCCUGCUACUUCAGGAUACUGUGUUGGAAGGCGGGGACAUAGCUCAGGCAAACAGACUUUGAAUUUAGAGGAGGGCAAUGGCCAGAGUGAAAAUGGGCGAUAUCAUGAAGAAUAUCUUUAUCGUGCAGAGCCAGACUGUGAAACUUCAGGUGUUUAUAGCACAGCUGCAUCUACAGCAAACUUGUCUCUUCAGGACAGAAAGUCAUGUUCUAUGUCUCCUCAGGACACAGUUACCUCAUACAACUACCCCCAGAAGGUGAUGGGAAAUAUUGCAGCAGUUGCAGCUUCCUGUGCCAAUAAUGUUCCAGCUCCAGUCUUAUCUAACGGUGCAGCGGCUAAUCAAGCUAUUAGUACCACUUCAGUUUCCUCACAGAAUGCUAUGCAGCCUCUAUUUGUAUCUCCACCUACACACGGCAGGCCAGGUAGGUUAUUAGCAGAUGCUUACUUCGGAAGCCUCUUUUCCUAUUCAUGAACAU
rnacentral:sRNA from 1 species